UGAGUUCUGUUGUACAGAAAAAGAUUUUAAUAACUGACAUUGAUAAUACUGUCAAAAUAUGUAAUAUGUCAGAAAGGCAUUCCUCUACUGUACAAAGAUAACUUUGACAAAUUUAUUGCAUCGUCACCUGAGAUGGCUUGUAAAAGAAGCACAAUAACGUUACAUAUUCAAAUAGCCUUCCAGUUCUGAUUUCUAUACAGAGAAAUAACCUUUAAACAGAGCAGCAGAUGGAUCAGUAUACAGUGGCUUUUAAAUAGGCAAAAACAAACAUUUUUUUAGCACAAGCCCACCUCACUUGUCUGCAUUGAUUCCAAAGAUCCGAACCUUGUGCAUAUU
rnacentral:misc_RNA from 1 species